UUGAGUUCUCUUUUAAUAGAUAAUUGUAUUGUAAUGUAUUAAGAAACAACUAUUUUGUGUCAUUUUAUUUGUAAAUAGUUUGUUAAUACUAAAUGGAUACAUAUUUGGAUUUUCAUGAUUUUUUUUGGUGUUUAUACUUCGCCCCCCUCUCAGUCAAACUCGCAGCUCUGUCUCUAUUCCACCAACCAUGGAGCAGAUUGCGAAUCUUUUGGAUUGCAUUUCAUGGAGUGGGGUUGGUCCGGGGUUAAUGGAUGCAGCUACUAAAGUUGCUUUACAUUCAACCCAAAAAAAAAAAAAAAAAAGUUGCUUUACAAGUGGGAAAACCAGUGGGUGGAGUAUAGACUUGUAAGUGGACUAUGAAAUUUAUGGAUUCUAAUGCCAGGAUUUAGAAAUUCUUAUUGGUUGUUCCAAGAGUGUCACGCACUAAGAAAAUUUAUGAAUAUUGUGAAUUUAUGAAAUGCUUUGCGAUUUUGUUGAAUGUGCAAUAAGGUUCAGUAGGGAGUUUGGUUUUAUUGUUUGACAGGAAAGAAAAGAGAGAACAACGUUAUGAACUCUUACACUAGCUUGGGGGUGGAGUCGUGUAUUUGCAUUCUUCAAGGAUGUGACCUGGUCAUCGUCAUUAUCUGCAAGCACUAGAGUUGAGAAGAGAGGCAAGUUCAUGUUGGAAACAUGCUUUUCCCAUUGACUGUGCAUAGCCUUUUCUUAUGAUCUUACACCGUCCAUGGAGCAGACUCUGAAUCUUUUCGAUUGCACUUCAUGGAGUGGGUUGGUUCUGGGCUAAUGGAUGCUACAACUAAAGAUGCUUUACAAGCAUGAAAACCAGUGGGUGGAUUUAAGAUUGGCAAAGAAGCUGGUGAAUGGACAGCCUCAAAUUUUCAUCCGUAUCAAGCUUCAGAAACUUACCUUACUUGCAGGCUUUGGUAUCUGGGAAGCUAGCUCGAGUUGAAGUUGUUACUGAGGGGAGUGCUUGCUACAGUUGCUCAUGUCCCUAUUGAUGCAAAUGCCUUGUGGUGAUCCCUGAUAAUACCACGAUUGGGAAUUUAUAUUUGGAAUGUGUUUCCAAUGAGCAGAGUUCUGUGACCAAUGACUUUCUAAUAUUCCUGCAAUGAUCUCCAACGUUUACAUUAUUGACUAGUGAGGGAAAAUAUACACCAUGGACCAUUUGAUAGCAGCUAGACAAACUUAGGUAUUGAUUCAAAGCUGUGUACAAGGAUGAUUGAAAUCAUUUUAUCAAGUGAAGUUGAAUGAAUUAAUUCUAUUAUAGCAAUUAUUAUGGUCUACAGUAAUGUCAAGAAGAAAUACGUUUGCCUGACA